AAGGGUUCAAGACCAUAGCAGAAGCACUCAUAGUAUGGCCCUGUCAGAUUCGAAGGAAUCUGUGAAUUUUGCU
rnacentral:ribozyme from 1 species